rnacentral:lncRNA from 1 species
CUGUGUGCCACUGCAAAGUGAGGCUGGGAUUCCUCAGUGUUCACCAGCACAGGGAAGAACUUAUUUUCCAAGAUCUUGGUGAGAUAUUAAACAGGAAGAAAACUGUACAUCAGGCCAACAAAUGUCUGUACUUCCUACCAAAGAAACUUAGGAACUCUGCACUCUCACUUCAUAACAGCCACUAUGAAGAGGAUUAUAGAUUGAAUACGGAUGAGAAAACACUGACCAGGAGCCGCAGAACUGGAUGGUAGCAGAGAUGUCAGCAAGAUGCUCCGGUGCAGGAGGGAGUGUGAGUGAGCAGGGCAACAGAGCCUCGUGGCUAGGACACAGCAGGACUGUGCUGGUCACAGUGCUGGGGAGCAGGGAGGGACACAUGGAGGUGAUGGGUGUAGGGAUGAGAAACCUCUGCUCUGUUCUUCCCACUGCUCUGCCUCUGUUAGCCCUAUUCAUAGGGUGCCCUUCCAUGCAGCACCUGGGAUUUUAACCUUUAUUCUUAGAAAAUUGUUCACUUCUUGGAGCUGCAUGGAGCAGUUAUUCACCCUUUCUCCUCCCCUCGUGACAUGGAAAGAAAUUCCCACGCGGCAGCGCACUGCCCUGCAGCCGGAGCCAGGCUCUGCCCCGCACCACAACCUGCCCCGUCUUGUCCUUAACUCCCAGUCUGGCUGCACUGCUCAUCCACCUGCACGAUGCUGCGCUGCCUUUGAUUCCUCCCCGAUGAGAUCAUCCACCUCUCAGCACAAAACACGCUGAGCGGUGUAGUCCUGGCACAGGCUGUUUC